CAGAUCCAUCAAAUACCAAUAGCUGACAUCUCCCAAAUGCAUGGACAGUCAUAGGAACGUCAAAAGAAUCCUGGUGUAUCUCUCUCCAUAGGCAUCUGCAGUUCUGCACGACUGCACCCUCGAGGGAAUUGAUGUCCGCCAGUGGAAUGUUCACUCCUGAACCUCUUCCCUGCCAAGGGAAGUUGAAAUGUUAGCUCAGUUACAAGAUGCAGUGAUAUGUGUGGUGUGAAAUGCUAGCUCAGCUGGCUUUUGAUAUUUUGGAUGCUCUGUUUAAAUCUAAUUCGGUGGUGCGUGUAGCGUUGGUCUACUACGUGUAAUAACGUGUGGACUGAUUUCCUUUUCUUGAAGGGAUGAAGCUGGAACUCUUUUCGUUAUCUAAAAAUGUGUGGUGUGAAUGUGUGAUGUAGCUGCUUUUUCAGACACCACCAGUUUUCUGCUUUUUCAGACACCACCAGUUUUUCUUUAAAAAAAAGUAAAUUGCUGCAGCCAACAUUUUUCAUGAAAAACUGUGGCUCUUGCAUCCUAGCGAUAGGCUGAUGAAAUAGCAAUGGCGCAAUGCAGAUUUGGCAAUGCAAGGAAAUCCUGAAUCAAGAGAAGAACCGGUGCGAAUACGCGUCAUCUUCAGAAGAUGAUGGUAUCUUGUUGUGAGCUCGAAACAGAUAAGAAGAUGUGGUGACUCAAUUGAGUGAGAAUAUGCAGUAUAUUUAGAAGGUUCGACGAUAUCUUUGUUAGCUCGAAACAGAUCAGGAGGUGGUGUGAGUGACUCACUCGGUCGUCUCAGGCUCAGGCGAGGAGUACUUCUGGAUGGCGGCGAUGAUCCUCUCCUUGUCCCUCGUCGCGAACGACUCCACCAGCACCCCGUCCUUG
rnacentral:lncRNA from 1 species